GCUGGGCACAGUGGCGCAUACCUAUAAUCCCAGCCACUCAGGAGGCUGAGACAGGAGGAUCACAAGUUCAAAACCAGCCUCAGCAAUGGUGAGACGCUAAGCAACUAGGAGACCCUGUCUCUA
rnacentral:sRNA from 1 species